UUUGCGUAACGCGGGGAAUCUGCCCUUAGGUUCGGAAUAACUCCCCGAAAGGGGUGCUAAUACCGGAUAAUGUCUUCGGACCAAAGAUUUAUCGCCUUUGGAUGGGCCCGCGUUGGAUUAGCUAGUUGGUGGGGUAAAGGCCUACCAAGGCGACGAUCCUUAGCUGGUCUUAGAGGAUGAUCAGCCACACUGGGACUGAGACACGGCCCAGACUCCUACGGGAGGCAGCAGUGGGGAAUAUGGACAAUGGCGAAAGCCUAUCCAGC
rnacentral:rRNA from 1 species